CGCCCGUCGGCGGGGCCGUGGGUGGCAGUACCUCGUCGACUGGGAUGGCUACGGACCCGAGGACCGGUCGUGGGUGCCCCGUUCCUACAUCUGCGAUCCAACCCUCAUCUCGGACUACUGGUCAUCGCUACCGUCUUCCUCUUCUGGGCCGAUGGGGAGCGGCCGUUGAGGGGGGGGGGGUGUCAGGGUCCGGGGUGGUGUAGCUCCUUUUUUCCACAGGGAGCAACCAUGAGCAGAGUGGCAGAGGUCCCAGGUGCGGCUCAUCAGGCUCGUUAGAGGAGGGCUCUUAAGGAGCACGCUGUCAACCGCUCGUCGCCGGAGUGUCCUACCUGUUGUGAUCACCUCCACAGUUGUGCCUCUAGCUCCUCGAAACCCUCUUGCUCAUCGACGCCACCUUCUCCUGAUCCUCCGAUUCCCUCCACGGCUCACCGCCAAGAUCCACCCCGUCUGGCUGAACUCCACACGCUCCGCCGUUGCCGCUCCCGCUCCUUGCUCCUGGCUCAGAUCCUCCCGCUCAGCCUCCACCGCAUCUCCUCUAAUAAACACUCAUCACUCAUUCUGAA